CUUGCAUGUCUACAUUGAUAAUAAACUUGGAUAAUCUUACACAAGACACACAUACAUAUAGUGGCUUUACUCCACUUGCUUAGACCCUAGACCACAUCAUUGUCUUAAGACUUACAUCAGCUACUCUACUAUGUUGGAACUCCCAACUCCUUAAUUCACUCUACAUAACAUCUUUGAUUCUAUAACACAACACUAAUUAACUAAACAUACUUGGGCCUAAUUCAUCUGCAGCCCAUUUUAACAAAACACAAAGCCCAACAUCUCUUUUGUUGACUUUGUUCCUUGCUCUUCUUUUACGCUUGAAGCUUCUUCUCUAUUCUUCUCUUCUUCUCAUAAAGCUUUCCUUAUUGCAGGAUUUAAUCUAGGAUUCACAAUUCCAACACUCCCCUAAGAAUCCUUAGAUUAAAUCCCCAAUUCGAUUUUAGGGAAUUCAAUCUCAUUGCUUCUUCUUCUCUUGGUGAUUCGCCUCUUCUCUUGUGCGAAUCCCUUUCACGAUCUUUGGCACAGCUCACUGGUAAGCUUGCCUUCUUCAUCUCCCUCUUACUUUGAAUAUCCUCGCAUCGAGAUUCUUCUUCUCUACGUGUUUGUGCGUGAAGUUCUUCAUGUCCCUCUGCUUCGAUUUUCCGUAAUCGAACUCAUCCUCUACUUUCUUCUUUUGCAGGUGAAUUGGUGUUAAGUCUCGGUCUCUUGUCUUCCUCUUGGUGAUUUUCUUCUUAUCACACAAAGACAUUGGAGCUCUUGGGAUUUCUCUUUCCCUCAAGCAGUCUCCAUGUCUUCUCCGCAUCUUCUCGGUGAGCCUCCCUCACGUCUCUUCCGGUUGUCGCUGCAACCUUCUUCAGCUUCCUCUCUCUCAGGUAAGCUUCUCUUCUCCUCUUCUUGGUGUCCACCUUUGAACACCUCCUUCUUUACUUUGAUUCUUAGAACCAUCACUUUAGCUUUAGCUUCAGAAUGUUUGACUCGAACCAUCACUCGACUUUCUCUAACCGUAGUCUAUUUGGCUUCUCCUUGAGUCAUCACCUUAGCCUUAGCCGGUUGGCUCUGUAGAGAACACGAAACUGAACGGUUGCUUGUAACAGAAACAAACACAGAAAUUGAUAGCCAAGUUCACGGCUUAACCGCUAUGUCUGAGGAGAGAUCUCUUGCUCCCAAAGCUUCACUAUAUCAAAGAGAUUACAAACACCACUUGACUUGUGAUGUUGUCUUUGGUUUCAGGUACAAUCUCAAGAAGAACAAAGAUCAAACACAAAGAACAAAGAAGGAGAAAGCUUCUUGAAGAAUAAACUCUCGUUUCUUCUCUUUCUCUCUAGAACUCUCUUUGUGUCUUGUCUCACACCUACAUCCACA
rnacentral:misc_RNA from 1 species